AAAGUCCCUGUCGAAUAAGGCCUAACCAGCCAUUCGUACCGAGUGUUGCAGUGAUGAAGGAGGCCGCUAAGGUCGGUUGGAGGAGUUACCGUUGAAUAGAGAAAACCUCGGCGUUGAAGAAGGGAUGCCAGCGACUUCAACGAGCCUGCUUCUAGCAGGGACACAAAUAUCUGACAUCAGCGACUGAACAACAUCAUUGAAGCGUACACAGGGAACGACGUAAGCCACAAGGAAGUCCGCACUUCCUGAAGUCUUGAAAUAGCCUCGUUAUUCGCGUAUGGUGAAAACCAUACAAAGAGCAGAUGGUGACAGGCUCGCGAACCUGGAAGCCUACACAAAGAGAACGGUUUGGUGAGUUCUCAGAGGGUCUGCCGGGGUUAGGAAAA
rfam:Chloroflexi bacterium RIFOXYD12_FTLL_57_15 rifoxyd3_full_scaffold_3849_curated, whole genome shotgun sequence.